rnacentral:rRNA from 1 species
UGGGGAAUAUUGCACAAUGGGGGGAACCCUGAUGCAGCCAUGCCGCGUGAAUGAAGAGGGCCUUCGGGUUGUAAAGUUCUUUCGGUGACGAGGAAGGUUGAUAGGUUAAUAGCCUAUCAAAUUGACGUUAAUCACAGAAGAAGCACCGGCUAACUCCGUGCCAGCAGCCGCGGUAAUACGGGGGGUGCGAGCGUUAAUCGGAAUAACUGGGCGUAAAGGGCACGCAGGCGGUGACUUAAGUGAGAUGUGAAAGCCCCGAGCUUAACUUGGGAAUUGCAUUUCAUACUGGGUCGCUAGAGUACUUUAGGGAGGGGUAGAAUUCCACGUGUAGCGGUGAAAUGCGUAGAGAUGUGGAGGAAUACCGAAGGCGAAGGCAGCCCCUUGGGAAUGUACUGACGCUCAUGUGCGAAAGCGUGGGGAGCAAACAGGAUUAGAUACCCUGGUAGUCCACGCUGUAAACGAUGUCGAUUUGGGGAUUGGGCUUUGAGCUUGGUGCCCGUAGCUAACGUGAUAAAUCGACCGCCUGGGGAGUACGGCCGCAAGGUUA